UUUGCCAAUGUCUUCCUCAAGCCUUUAACAAUCUUUGCAAACCAAACCAAGUUCAUAACAGAUAGCACCAAUGGCACAACAACUACCAAUAUCUGCCCAAUGAUGUGCAUCCGCUCAACCUGUUGAAUGAUUGAAGAAUAUGUGAUCUUAGUUGUUAAGCAGCAGUGCAGACCGUGGAAGACGGAGACAGGAAAUACUAGAGACCGUGUGAUUCAUAUCUUGUGCCAAUCGUCCAACCCGUACUCUAGUCUUAUAUAUUAAAAUAAUUGGGAGCAAUGGUGACAAAGCAAUUAAAAGUGCAAGUUAGAUGUCGAAGUUGAAAUUAAUUAAAAAGAGAAUUGAGAGCAAACUGAACAGAGUUUAAGGAUAACGAGGGAAGAGUUGUGGCUUGAUCGAUGCCUGUAACUCUAGCUUUAGAACCUUCGGCAAGAGUAAUAUGAUGUGAAACUUUUUGUUGUGAUAGUUUUGAUAAAAUAUAAAGAUUACCGACUACGUGAUGGAAAGCACCGUAAUCUAGAUUCAUGAUCUAAUAGAAGAUGAGCGAUAAUAACAAACAGCAGAGUUACCAGGGUGUGCAACAGUUUGAGGUUUGUUGGGCUUCACCAUAAUAAGGUUAUAAUAGAUCACUCUACCAUUGAAGAUGACGGACACAUGCAGAAAACACAACUCAUUCGAAACACACCACAAAGCUGAACAAACUGAGAACAAAGAUGUGCGCCAACAGGCCAGAAACUAAAUACGCACAUAAAACAUGUCUGAAGAUGCACUUGGACCAAAAGUGUGCAGAUUCAGUGAGAUUCAAAAUGGAGAAUAUAUCCAGAUAACAUUAAUACCAGAAAUGGGUCAGGCAAUUGAUCCCUAAAACACGCAAAGGAAUCUCCCGCAAGAAAAUCACUACAGGCAACGCAUCAAACAGAGUCAUGUAGGGAGGCACAUGAGCUCCAAGUUCGGCAAGGUUGCGAAAUAUUUCCUGCUCAUGACGGCAUGUGUGGAACUCAAUGGUUGCGGGGUUAUGACGUGAAGCAGAUUGCCAAUCUCUGAGCCAAGUGUCGGGGCCGAACCUUGAUUGUUGUUGGUCAAUGGGACAACUUGACGACUAGGGUUUCUGAUUUAGGGACUUUCUCAUUAGUGAUUUUUUUUAUAAAAAAAAUCAGGCCCAGAAGAUGCGAGCUUUUAUACCAUCUUGAAUGCAGAAAAAGUAAAGAAUUCAUUUGAAUUGCUUGAGAGAUUAACCCUCGGCCAUGUAUAUUUAUAACAAUAAAUAUGAUUACAGUCAUGACCCUUUAAUUAUAGGGAUAGGAAUAAGUGCUUAUAUAAAGGAAAAUAAAUCAGGGAAAUAUUUCAACACUUGUCAAAAAACUAUGAGACCAUCCUAUGUCUUUCUGUCUUA